rnacentral:rRNA from 1 species
AAAGUGGGCUGUGCUAGAAGCGGCUGAGCCAACUCGCAAGAGAGGCAGGUCGCCACGGCAUGGUCCAUGAUUGGGGUG